AGCUUUAACUGGUAGUAGAAACGGCAAUAAAGAAUAUACUCAUGAAGAUGUUGCACAAGGAUAAUGGUGAUGAAGUUGAGGGCAGUUUUCAUAUUGCCACAGUUAAUCCGACUAUUAGCAUUUUGUAAAAAUACUAUUAGACUGUAAGACCAUUCUAAAUAUGCCACUAUGUUCAUAGAAAUUCAGUUUUUGUAGCCUAAAUGAUAUACUGCCUUGUAGCAAAAUGUCCCCAUUUCGGCAGGUUUUGUUUUUCAUUGGAAACAAAGAGUUACUUAAAGAAAAUGAGUCAUUUAUUUCAAUCUCAGUUGGCUGAGUUGUUAUUUAUUCAGUUUGGCUUAUCAUUAAAUAACAGUUAUUACUGUCAUUAGCAUUAUUAACAAAAACUUUGUUUACCCAUUUUGGAGACUAUUCCAGAACCUAGCUAGUUGGUUUUUUGUUUUUGUUUUUUUUUGAGACAGAGUCUCGCCCUGUCACCAGGCUGGAGUGCAGUGGCACAAUCUCCACUCACUGCAACCUCUGCCUCCCGGUUCAAGCGAUUCUCCUGCCUCAGCCUCCCAAGUAGCUGGGACUACAGGCACGCGUCACCACACCCGGCUAAUUUUUUAUUUUUAGUAGAGACAGGGUUUCACCAUGUUGGCCAGGAUGGUCUCGAUCUCUUGACCUUGUGAUCUGCCCGCCUCGGUUUCCUAAAGUGGUGGGAUUACAGGCGUGAGCCACUGCGCCCGGUGAACCUAGCUAGUUUCUUAAUCAUGAAUACUUCAUAGUUUAAAAAAAGUAUUUAACUGUUUGAGGUUCACAUUUCAAAACAGUGUAUUUUAUACAUACAUCCCAAAUUUUAUUGAGCCAUGUUUCAGUGCUACCUGAUUUGACUCAUUACAUUUUCUUAAUUAGUUAUCUGUAAAUCAUUUUCCUUUAAAUACCUUCUAGUACAAGUACAUUUUGCUAACAACACGAUUAACUGGAUUUGACAUUUGAGCCAUGUGAAUUCGAGUUAUAUAUACUUGCAUUUUGCCUUCUUAUGGAUUUGCUAGUCCAUCAUGCUGCCUAGGGCAGGAAAACUCUUCAACAGCAAGCCCAAAUGAGACCCUCUCCUGGGCUCCAAAUUCCAGUUUGGGAGGGUACGUUCUCUUCAGCUCAUUGUUUUUUAAUUUUUUUUGGUGACCCUCCAGAAAACAUUCAUGACAAGUAAAUAGGAUUUAAAAUAUUAGCUUAAAAUAGAAUCAUUUAUGUAUCAUCAUAACAGGAUUAAUUUUUCUUAAGCCAUUGUUUAUUUUACUAAGAUAUUUUGAAAAAUUUUAGCUCAGUUGUCUUUAAAAAGGCUUCAUGUUCCUACAGUAUUUAUAUGAUUUUUUUUUAAAUCUACACAAACUUACAAAUUUUAAAUAUUUUUUAGUCCAUCAACAAGCAAUAAUAUUCCGCUAAUGAGGGUUGUACAAUCCAUCAAGCACACAAAGAGGAAGAGCAGCACAAUGGUGAAGGAAGGGUGGAUGGUCCAUUACACCAGCAGGGAUAACCUGAGAAAGAGGCAUUAUUGGAGACUUGACAGCAAAUGUCUAACAUUAUUUCAGAAUGAAUCUGGAUCAAAGUAUUAUAAGGAAAUUCCACUUUCAGAAAUUCUCCGCAUAUCUUCACCACGAGAUUUCACAAACAUUUCACAAGGCAGCAAUCCACACUGUUUUGAAAUCAUUACUGAUACUAUGGUAUACUUCGUUGGUGAGAACAAUGGGGACAGCUCUCAUAAUCCUGUUCUUGCUGCCACUGGAGUUGGACUUGAUGUAGCACAGAGCUGGGAAAAAGCAAUUCGCCAAGCCCUCAUGCCUGUUACUCCUCAAGCAAGUGUUUGCACUUCUCCAGGGCAAGGGAAAGAUCACAAAGAUUUGUCUACAAGUAUCUCUGUAUCUAAUUGUCAGAUUCAGGAGAAUGUGGAUAUCAGUACUGUUUACCAGAUCUUUGCAGAUGAGGUGCUUGGUUCAGGCCAGUUUGGCAUCGUUUAUGGAGGAAAACAUAGAAAGACUGGGAGGGAUGUGGCUAUUAAAGUAAUUGAUAAGAUGAGAUUCCCCACAAAACAAGAAAGUCAACUCCGUAAUGAAGUGGCUAUUUUACAGAAUUUGCACCAUCCUGGGAUUGUAAACCUGGAAUGUAUGUUUGAAACCCCAGAACGAGUCUUUGUAGUAAUGGAAAAGCUGCAUGGAGAUAUGUUGGAAAUGAUUCUAUCCAGUGAGAAAAGUCGGCUUCCAGAACGAAUUACUAAAUUCAUGGUCACACAGAUACUUGUUGCUUUGAGGAAUCUGCAUUUCAAGAAUAUUGUGCACUGUGAUUUAAAGCCAGAAAAUGUGCUGCUUGCAUCAGCAGAGCCAUUUCCUCAGGUGAAGCUGUGUGACUUUGGAUUUGCACGCAUCAUUGGUGAAAAGUCAUUCAGGAGAUCUGUGGUAGGAACUCCAGCAUACUUAGCCCCUGAAGUUCUCCGGAGCAAAGGUUACAACCGUUCCCUAGAUAUGUGGUCAGUGGGAGUUAUCAUCUAUGUGAGCCUCAGUGGCACAUUUCCUUUUAAUGAGGAUGAAGAUAUAAAUGACCAAAUCCAAAAUGCUGCAUUUAUGUACCCACCAAAUCCAUGGAGAGAAAUUUCUGGUGAAG
rnacentral:sRNA from 1 species